rnacentral:lncRNA from 10 species
GCUGAGAUCAGUUAAAGGGAACAUUAUGAAGUGGAUGAUUCCACCUCCCUUAUGGGCUUCCAUGCGGUGACAUCCUAUGCAUGUCUAUCAAGUUUGUUAUGAUUUUUUCAAUGCCUGUAAUUCCUAAUUGGAUUGUAAAUUCCACAAUGCAGGCAUUGUGGUUCCUUCUCUGAUGCAGGAUUGUCAGUACUUAACGUAGUAGGUGCUCAAUAAAUACUACUGAAAGAAUCAUUGCAUGAGUGUACAGGUGGUUGCCCUCCCCUUUCCGGCCCUUCAGAAUAUAUCAUUCACAGUUUUGGUGAGACAAAUAAGAAUGAGUGAAAUCUUGGUGAAAACUUGGAUCCAUGGGAGCCCUUUCCCUGAAAAAAAGGAGUUGAUAGGCUCUUCCCUCUUGAAAGGAGCUGCCGCCUUUUGAAGCUGUGCCGGGGGAACUGAAGAGGAUCUUGCCCAUUCGUCUACCAAAGAACACCAUCCUCCCAGAACUUCUUUUCUCACACUGGGCCAGCACUGGGUAUUUAGUGAAGCAGACACUCAGGAAAUGCUUGUCGAAUUGACUUUUUAAUGUGCCAUGCGAGAAAACAAAAGGAGAGGAGGCUGGGCUUGAAGUGAAGGUGAGGAGGAUGCAGAGGCACACAGAACCAGUAAAGAGGACUUCUGAACAGGAGGAAGUAUAACUGUGGGUUUUGGAUAGGAGCUUAAUAUACAUUUAGAGAAAUAAAUAUAAUCCAAUUUUAUGAGAUAUUUCUAGGGCUUGUUUAAGAACAUAUAGAAAAUAAAUGAGAAAUUGUACCACCGAUUCUCUGGGGGGAUUUACCAGUGUAGAGUUAUUUUAAUCUGUGCAUCUUCAGCCCAUGCUGUGUCUCACCUACGUAAGCCCACAGCUAUGACACCUGUCAGGACUUCUUCAAUUUGUGGAAUAUCUACCCUCAGUCACAUUCAAGGAAAACAUCAAUAAAGUAAAUGGGCAAUGCAAUUUUAAGGCUUAGAUCUGCCACUCAAAUGUGUCCUUGGAGAAGUUACUUUCUUCCAUGGACCUUAAUAUCUCUAUUCUCAAAGUGAAGUGUUGCACUGGAUAAUAAUUUUAUGUUUUUCAACAUGGACAUUUAACAUUUUUUGAUUCUCCAGGCAGUGGAUCUCUGGAGGCUGCCUGGAAUCCAUGACACUGACACUGGUCGCUCAGGCCUGCAGGGAGCCACCUAUGCAGGGAAUGCCAACCUGAGGCAAAACCAAAGAUGAGAAGAGCUGAGAUGAGAAGAGCAGCUACUGUGUCUUGAAGAAUGGUGCUUCUUGUAGUAAUACAAGAGGAAGUCAGAGGUGCAGGAAGUGAAGAGGAGGGCGUGUAUUUGAUGUGUCUGGUUCAGUCUCCCGGUGCACAGAGAAGGCUCUGGGAACUAAUUCCACUGGGUGAUCACAGUUACCGGCCUCCUCAUCUAAGGAGAUGCAAUUCCAGGAGCGGCUGCCCUCUGACCUGCUGGCUGGCCUGUGCAUUACUCACCCUGUCAUGGUCCUGAGACUGGCCUGCUGCCUGCUGGGAGCUUCACAGUCUGGCACAGCCGCUGGACUGGGAAUGAAACAGGAAGCGUGCUGAGAGAGAGGGCAGGGGUGGAGGCUAUUGGACCGGGAGGAUGAGGCAGCUCAGGCCAAACACUCAUCCAUAUUCAGCUGUGUGCCCAAGGAAGUGUGGAUGAUCAGGGACAGAGAGAGUGGCCAAAUGAAUGUAUGGAGAAGAGUGUCUGGCUAUUGGUACCCGGAUGCUGAGAAAAGAUCGUGGUUUUGCCCAACCAAACAAUCCAGGGAUGAAAGUAGUCUUGGAGGGUACGAUGGGGGCUCCAGUCACCUUUUGCUCGUUUCCCACCCUAGGCAGAGCUCUGACUGCAAUAAUAAACAACAUGGGGCAGCCGAAAUCUCAGUUGCUGAGAGGCUGCACAGUGGGAGAGACCACGCAUCACAACAGCCGGCCUGGGCUAGCGCCUGAUUUGACGAGAAGCUCAUCCCAGUGGAUUGAGCCUUGAAAGUUCUUCUCUGACAGCUGGGAGUCUCAAGGGCUCAGCCAUGAAUCCUUCUAAACAGAGUUUGUGCUUUUGGUGGAUGUAACCCCAGGAAUCCCAUCACGCUCCCAGAAGAGUACAUGAAUGGUGAAAGGACGGAUGGGCAGAUCGGGCACAGCAAAGCACCAAGGGAAGAAACAGCAAAUGACCAAAGCUAUAAGCCCUAGUGCUUUUAGAUAGGGAAGGGGCUUUGCAACUGGCUCAUGACCUUAAGUGAGUUUUUAAACUCUCUGAGUGAGCCUGUUUCUUUCAUCUUGGUUUGGAAAAAUGAAAGGAGCUCCUUAUCAACUUAAGUCAGAAAACAAACAAAAAACAAAUGUUGAAAGAUUAUAGUCACAGAUGCACAAAGCAACUCUUCGUUCCAUUUACCAAUGUGUAUAAUGUAAUGCAUCAUUCCACAAAAGCGGAUGACGCUUCUAAUGGAAAGCAAGGAAAAGGUGGAGGAAAAAAGAAAAUACAUUCUAGAAAAUACAGAAAUGCCGUAUUUCUGUCUACCUUCCCUCACGUUUGCCCACAGGGCAGGACUUUUGUCUAAAUGUAUGAUAGCCCUGGCAGUGUAUACCUUCAGGCUCCAAGCUCCAGAGAACCCAAGAGGUAAUGUGGAGACUGCAAUUGUCAGCAAUUCCAUACACUGAGAAACACAGGGAAAGAGGCUGCAUGUGUAACUCUCCAAGUCCGACAUCUCCAGCUUGGACUCAAAACACCAGUGGUUUAAUCCAGAGACAGAAACACCUUUUGAGUCCCAUUCCAUUACACAAGAAGCCCUUUGCUCUUUGGCUUGUUUUACUGCAGGCAAACUGCGAGGCUGAAAUAGGAUUUCCCUCACUGCAGCCCACAUUGGGAUAAGUCAGAGCCUGCGGACUCUGCUUGAGGAGUGGCCAGGGAGAUGCUUGCAGAGUGCAGUAAACAGGACAUGGAGGAAGUUGGGAGCUGGACUCGGGUUGUUAACAAGCCCUUCCCCGCCACCCCCACGUUGUCAGGAAAUGUGGGGAGCUGAGGGCCACAGAGCACACAAUGAUGCAGUGGGAAGUGGCCUUUAUAAAUACCCAGGGGUCAGGGCCAGGCUCGGCAAACAAUAGGGGAAAUGAUGAUGGCGGCAGUGGGUGUGGGGGGUGGGGAAGGCCAGGAUGAGUCCAUCAGUGACAAUAAUGGAGCAGAAGCAGAUACUGGCGCUGGCGGUCCAGGGGGGCCUGGGGGUUGUGAAUCAAACUAUACAAAUUGCCGGUGACUCAGUAGCCACAACAGAGGGUAGCAGGGUCUGUAAACAGUCCACAGUAUGUCCCAUUGUUCCUUCAAGAACCUCUCCCUGGUCUCUACAUGUCAAAGGUCUCUGUUUUGCUUCACUUACCGGAAGCUGGUGGAAGCUAGUUGAGUGUUCAGAGGACACCAUUCCUCACCGGUGGUGACAGUGGGCUCAGGGCUGCAUUUUCUGCCUUGUGUUCACCCUGGUAAGCAAAUAGGCACCAAAGGAAGGGAAAGAGGAUCUGCAGGGAAACAAACAAUGCCCCAGAGCUGAACUUUGGUUUAGUCUCCCCAGAUUCACUUGGUGUGUGGAUGGGAAUGGAAGAUUAGUAUGCCGCCCUUCACUGGCCGUGGGGAGAGAUGCAUUUUUGUAUUCAGAAUAUAACCUUGCAAAUGAGAUCAAACAUUUGAAGAGCUAUGGGAAAGGCAAUAAACCAAAGUGGGAUUCUUCGUCACUUGUCCAGCAUGAAUUAUUACUUGCUGGUUAAGCAGGUGAGUAAGUGGCUAUUUGCAAAGCUGCCUGAAGGACCUAGAUUAUUAUUUUGUUUUUUUUUUUGUGGGACAGUUCCUAGUUCUUUCUACGAUUAGCUAUGCAAAAGAUAGACGACUGAAAUUCUUUAGGCUUCAUUUUUCCUCACCACAUGGGGUUGGUCACUGAGGAUCUAUGAGACGCUAAACUUACAGAAACAGAAAGAUUUUAGGUCAACUUAUUUUUCUUUUCCAUCUUUGCCCAGCACUGGAAAUAUAUAUUUUACCCUGACACACAGACUGAGUUAGAGGAGCUGGCAUGUGCUCCAUUUCUUCAUGUUAAAGCAUACCAGGUGUUUCUAAGUUACAGGGUGAUUUCCAUGUACAAAGAUAUUUGUGACAUAAAAUAUACCUUUUGCAGAAAUUAUGAACUCCCCAGAUUGAAUGUUCCUUGUAUCAAUUAUUAUUCUGUUUUAGAGUGCUUCAUCAUAAACAUGAUUAAAAAUCUAAUUAGGUAAUCAAUUACAUAACAGUCAUUUCUUUCUCUAAAAUGUAAGCUUUACAAAGGCAGGCCCUGAGCCUCUCCUACUGAUAUGGUUUCCUUGGUGCUGAGCAUAGUUUCUCCCAUGGAAUUGGCCCUUAGUAGGUAUUGAGUGAGUGAGCAGGAGAACGAAUGCUCUCUAAGUGCCUCUGUUUUAUAUGCAGUCUCUGUAAGGAGCCAGCUGGAAGCUGGGAUCUGGGGUGCAUGUGUAUUGCAGGGGUCUGAGCAUGGUCCUCCAGGGCUGUUUAACCACGGAUGCAUGUUCAGGGUGCCCUCUAAGACUGUAGGGCUCACCAUGCCAUGGAUGUCUCUGAUGGGAGGCGCUGUUCCUUCUGUAUCCCAUGGCACAUAUGAUAAAGUGCGGUCUCAUUCGAAGUCCCAUUUAGUGAAAUAAAACAUAGGAAACUCAAAUGGAGGUUAAGCAAGCCACGUUAUAUUUAUUUUAAUAUUUAUUAUUUAAAACAUAUAUUUAAAAGACAUAGGCUUUGACUUUCAGUGAGAAAAGAUUAACCAAUAUGUAAAUUUAGAUCUUACUAAGGGCACCCUAACUCUAUCUUUAACCUUGAUAUGCUGCUGGUGAAACUAUAAACAGGCAUAUACUUUUUUUUUUGGUAACUUUUAUUUUAGGUUUGGGGAACAUGUGCAGGUUUGUUAUAUAGGUAAACUCAUCUCACGGGGAUUGGUUGUACAGACUAAUUUGUUACCUAGAUACUAAGCCUAGUACCCAAUAGUUAUUUUUCUUCUCCUCUUCCUUCUCCCACCCUCCACUCUCAAGUAGCCGCCAAUGUCUGUUGUUCCCUACUUUGUAUCCAUUAGUUCUCAUCAUUUAGCUCCCACUUAUAAAUGGGAACACACUGUAUUUGUUUAUCUGUUCCUGCGUUAGCUUGCUAAUGCCAAUGGCCUCCAGCUCCAUCCAUGUCCCUCCAAAAGACAUGAUCUUAUUCUUAUGGCUGCAUAGUAUUCCAUGGUGUAUGUGCAUCACCUUUUCUUUAUCCAGUCUGUCACUGAUGGGCAUUCACAUUGAUUCCUUGUCUUUUCUAUUGUGAAUAGGGCUGCAAUGGACAUUCACAUACAUGUGUCUUUAUGGUAGAAUAAUUUGUAUUCCUCUGGGUAUAUACCCAGUAAUGAAAUUCAUGCUUAUACUUUCUAAGCAAGCAAUUUUUUCUAUUACAGUUUAUCAAAAGUCUUAAAAUAUUUGUAUUUUCAGCCCAGCAAUUUUAUUUUUGGAAACUUUCAUAAAAAUCUGGACAACAAUUUAUAACUAAAGAGGUUUAUCAUAUUCCAGUUCUAUAGAAAUAAUUUUAAAAGUAGAAAAUUUUUCUAAUAACAGGAUAUUUAAUUAAA